UCCCAUGUAGUCUAGUGGUUAAGAUUCCUGGCUUUCAAUCAGGUGUCCAGAGUUCCAUUCCCAGCAUGUGAA
rnacentral:tRNA from 1 species